CCUACGGGUGGCAGCAGUGGGGAAUAUUGGACAAUGGGGGGAACCCUGAUCCAGCCAUGCCGCGUGUGUGAAGAAGGCCCUCGGGUUGUAAAGCACUUUCAGUGAGGAAGAACGCCUGGUGGUUAAUACCCAUCAGGAAAGACAUCACUCACAGAAGAAGCACCGGCUAACUCCGUGCCAGCAGCCGCGGUAAUACGGAGGGUGCGAGCGUUAAUCGGAAUUACUGGGCGUAAAGCGCGCGUAGGUGGCUUGAUAAGCCGGUUGUGAAAGCCCCGGGCUCAACCUGGGAACGGCAUCCGGAACUGUCAAGCUAGAGUGCAGGAGAGGAAGGUAGAAUUCCCGGUGGAGCGGUGAAAUGCGUAGAGAUCGGGAGGAAUACCAGUGGCGAAGGCGGCCUUCUGGACUGACACUGACACUGAGGUGCGAAAGCGUGGGUAGCAAACAGGAUUAGAUACCCCUGUAGUC
rnacentral:rRNA from 1 species